UACGGAGGGUGCGAGCGUUGUCCGGAAUCAUUGGGCGUAAAGGGCGCGUAGGCGGCCUUCUAAGUCGAACGUGAAAUCCCCGGGCUCAACCCGGGAACUGCGUCCGAUACUGGAAGGCUUGAAUCCGGGAGAGGGAUGCGGAAUUCCAGGUGUAGCGGUGAAAUGCGUAGAUAUCUGGAGGAACACCGGUGGCGAAGGCGGCAUCCUGGACCGGUAUUGACGCUGAGGCGCGAAAGCCAGGGGAGCAAACGGG
rnacentral:rRNA from 1 species